CUUUCCUCCUCCUGCUCAGCACAGCUCCAGCACAAGACUCCUCUGAGAACGACGGCAGAACUAUCUAUUCAGAUCUGAGUCAAACACCUGGGUAUCAGCUUCAACUCCUCUCUUCCAUCACACUCCUCACAGAGUCACCCAAGGCAGCCGUGGAUCUCAAACAGAGCCUCUCACUGCCCCUGCCUGGGAUUCAUCAGCUCCAGGGACCUACCUCCCUCUCCAGCCUCAGGGAAGCCAUAUGGAAGUGCUUUGCCGUAUACUGCAGCCUCCCACUCUACUGCCCCAGCUCUGAUCUGCAUGUGUAUGGUUCUGUAAGAGGAAAAGACGAACAAGAAUAAAAUUCAGCAAUACCUCAAGAGACGAGAAUUAUGGUCA
rnacentral:lncRNA from 1 species